rnacentral:rRNA from 1 species
UACGGGGGGGCAAGCGUUGUUCGGAAUUACUGGGCGUAAAGGGCUCGUAGGCGGCCAACUAAGUCAGACGUGAAAUCCCUCGGCUUAACCGGGGAACUGCGUCUGAUACUGGAUGGCUUGAAUCCGGGAGAGGGAUGCGGAAUUCCAGGUGUAGCGGUGAAAUGCGUAGAUAUUGGGAGGAACACCAGUGGCGAAGGCGGCUACCUGGACCGGUUCUGACGCUGAUGCGCGAAAGCGUGGGUAGCAAACAGG